ACAGGCUUAACACAUGCAAGUCGAGGGGCAGCAUUUUAGUUUGCUUGCAAACUGAAGAUGGCGACCGGCGCACGGGUGAGUAACACGUAUCCAACCUGCCGAUAAUUCCGGAAUAGCCUUUCGAAAGAAAGAUUAAUACCGGAUAGUAUACGAAUAUCGCAUGAUAUUUUUAUUAAAGAAUUUCGGUUAUCGAUGGGGAUGCGUUCCAUUAGUUUGUUGGCGGGGUAACGGCCCACCAAGACUACGAUGGAUAGGGGUUCUGAGAGGAAGGUCCCCCACAUUGGAACUGAGACACGGUCCAAACUCCUACGGGAGGCAGCAGUGAGGAAUAUUGGUCAAUGGGCGCGAGCCUGAACCAGCCAAGUAGCGUGAAGGAUGAAGGCUCUAUGGGUCGUAAACUUCUUUUAUAUGGGAAUAAAGUUUUCCACGUGUGGAAUUUUGUAUGUACCAUAUGAAUAAGGAUCGGCUAACUCCGUGCCAGCAGCCGCGGUAAUACGGAGGAUCCGAGCGUUAUCCGGAUUUAUUGGGUUUAAAGGGAGCGUAGGUGGAUUGUUAAGUCAGUUGUGAAAGUUUGCGGCUCAACCGUAAAAUUGCAGUUGAAACUGGCAGUCUUGAGUACAGUAGAGGUGGGCGGAAUUCGUGGUGUAGCGGUGAAAUGCUUAGAUAUCACGAAGAACUCCGAUUGCGAAGGCAGCUCACUAGACUGUUACUGACACCGAUGCUCGAAAGUGUGGGUAUCAA
rnacentral:rRNA from 1 species